GUCCUUUUAACUUAGCGGCGGUAGAGUAACGCCAUGGUAAGGCGUAAGUCAGAAGUUCAAAUCUGAUAAGGGGCU
rnacentral:tRNA from 1 species